rnacentral:lncRNA from 1 species
AAUAGGUCAACUAUAUAUGUUGUAUAGAAGCAUUGUUAGCUGUACAUGUCUGCCUGGCAUGGUUCAUCUGACCUUGACCUCAUUUUCAAGGUUCAUUGGUCUUUGUUUAGUUAUCUUGGUUAAUGUUUAUGUGACAGUUGUUAUAAAGCUUAACUUUAUACUUAGGACUAUCAACAUAAUAUCAAUGAUUAGUAUAGAAGGCGAGACAUUUCAGCGUGUGCACUCUUGUCUGAUAAAAUGGUUGGUUCAAAUUUUUUUGAAUUUUUCAUAUUUUUGUCAAAGGGUCAAAGUAAAUACUAAGUCAAAAUUUUAUGAAAAUGUAAACAAGCCAAAUUAAUUCUAGUGAAGGUGUUUGGUACCACCUUAAAUUCAUUGUAAUUUUUAGGGCUGAUAGAGACAGUCCUGAACUACUCUAUUUGAUAUUGUCUCAUACUGUUGUAUUACAUCAAUAUUUACCUAUGGUUAUUGUGAUAACAAUGGAGUCACCAUUGAAGUUGUGUUGUUGAUUAAAAUUGGAAUGAAAC